UUCCUUUAUGAAAAUUCUAAAGGUAGAGCCUGCUCAGUGAUAAAUGUAAACAGCCGCGGUAUUUUAACCGCGCGAAGGUAGCAUAAUUAAUUGUCUUUUAAUUGGUGACUUGUUUGAACGGCUUAAUGAGGGUUAAACUUUUUUUAUCUUCAGACGAAUUUAUUAUCUUGGGUCAAAAAACCUAGAUUAGUAAAAAAGAAGAGAAGACCCUGAUGAGUUUUACAAUAAAUAUUGUUUAAAUGGGGCCUUACAAUUUUUUUCAUAUUUGUAUUAGAUCCUACCUUGAGGAAAAAGGGAUAAAUUACCACAGGGAUAACAGGACAAAAUUUGCUAAGAGUACGUAUCUAAGCAAGAAAAUGUUACCUCGAUGUUGAAUCAAAGUGAACUUAUGGGCGCAGAAGUUUUCGGAGUGGGUCUGUUCGACCUUUAAAACUUUACG
rnacentral:rRNA from 1 species